GGCCGUGUAGUAUAAGGGGUAAUACUGCUAGGCGUCGGGCGGAAGAUCGAAUUUAGUCUACCCCCCGUUGCGUGGACGGAUCCCGGUUCGAAUCCGGGCUCGGUCG